rnacentral:rRNA from 1 species
GACGAACGCUGGCGGCGUGCCUAACACAUGCAAGUCUAACGGAGCAUAGCGUAUGAAGUUUUCGGAUGGAAUAUGCGAAAGCUUAUUGGCGGACGGGUGAGUAACGCGUGAGUAACCUGCCUUACAGAGAGGGAUAGCGUCUGGAAACGGACGAUAAUACCGCAUAACAUUUUAGGUUCACAUGGGCUUAAAAUCAAAGGGAGCAAUCCGCUGUAAGAUGGACUCGCGUCCGAUUAGCCAGUUGGCGGGGCAAAGGCCCACCAAAGCGACGAUCGGUAGCCGGACUGAGAGGUUGAACGGCCACAUUGGGACUGAGACACGGCCCAUACUCCUACGGGAGGCAGCAGUGGGGGAUAUUGCACAAUGGAGGGAACUCUGAUGCAUCAACGCCGCGUGAGGGAAGACGGUUUUCGGAUUGUAAACCUCUGUCCCCGGGGACGAUAAUGACGGUACCCGAGGAGGAAGCUCCGGCUAACUACGUGCCAGCAGCCGCGGUAAUACGUAGGGAGCAAGCGUUGUCCGGAUUUACUGGGUGUAAAGGGUGCGUAGGCGGCAUUGCAAGUCAGGUGUGAAAACUAUGGGCUUAACUCAUAGAUUGCACUUGAAACUGUGCUGCUUGAGUGAAGUAGAGGCAGGUGGAAUUCCCGGUGUAUCGGUGAAAUGCGUAGAGAUCGGGAGGAAACACCAGUGGCGAAAGGCGGCUCUGCUUGGGCUUUUAACUGACGCUUGAUGGCACGAAAAGCAUUGGGUAGCAAAACAGGAUUAGAUACCCUGGGUAGUCCCAUGCUGUAAACGAUGAUUACUAGGUGUGGGGGGACUGACCCCCUUCCGUGCCGGAGUUAACACAAUAAAGUAAUCCACCUGGGAAAGUACGACCGCAAGGUUGAAACUCAAAAGGAAUUACGGGGGCCCGCACAAGCAGUGGAGUAUGUGGUUUAAUUCGAAGCAACGCGAAGGACCUUACCAGGUCUUGACAUCCGCCCAAUCGGGUAGAAAUACCCGAGUGCCCUUCGGGGAAAGGCGAGACAGGUGGUGCAUGGUUGUCGUCAGCUCGUGUCGUGAGAUGUUGGGUUAAGUCCCGCAACGAGCGCAACCCUUGUGAUUAGUUGCUACGCAAGAGCACUCUAAUCAGACCGCCGUUGACAAAACGGAGGAAGGUGGGGAUGACGUCAAAUCAUCAUGCCCCUUAUGACCUGGGCCACACACGUACUACAAUGGCCAUUAACAACGGGAAGCGAAACCGCGAGGCGGAGCGAAACCCAAAAAAUGGUCUCAGUUCGGAUUGUAGGCUGCAACCCGCCUACAUGAAGCCGGAAUUGCUAGUAAUCGCGGAUCAGCAUGCCGCGGUGAAUACGUUCCCGGGCCUUGUACACACCGCCCGUCACACCAUGGGAGCCGGUAAUACCCGAAGUCGGUAGUCUAACAGCAAUGGAGACGCCGCCGAAGGUAGGAUUGGCGACUGGGGUG